AACGAACGCUGGCGGCAUGCCUAACACAUGCAAGUCGAACGAGAUCUUCGGGUCUAGUGGCGCACGGGUGCGUAACGCGUGGGAAUCUGCCCUUUGGUUCGGAAUAACAGUUGGAAACGACUGCUAAUACCGGAUGAUGACGAAAGUCCAAAGAUUUAUCGCCAGAGGAUGAGCCCGCGUAGGAUUAGCUAGUUGGUGUGGUAAAGGCGCACCAGGGCGACGAUCCUUAGCUGGUCUGAGAGGAUGAUCAGCCACACUGGGACUGAGACACGGCCCAGACUCCUACGGGAGGCAGCAGUGGGGAAUAUUGGACAAUGGGCGAAAGCCUGAUCCAGCAAUGCCGCGUGAGUGAUGAAGGCCUUAGGGUUGUAAAGCUCUUUUACCCGGGAUGAUAAUGACAGUACCGGGAGAAUAAGCUCCGGCUAACUCCGUGCCAGCAGCCGCUGUAA
rnacentral:rRNA from 1 species